UUGAGCCCUUUCCUAACCAUUAUGUGAUGAUAUUUGUAUGCAGAGAGGAGAAUUUCACAUGAAACAACCCCCAAAAUCCAAACACACAAAAUAAGACAUCUAUCGUGAUGAAAUGUCCACCAACAUCUUUGAACUAUCUUUUUGGGGUAAGAUUAACUUGGAUCAAUAUAAUUUGUAGAUAAGAUCGAAACUGUAGAAAAGUUCAACAACAUAGCCUCUACAUAACACUACAUAAACU